rnacentral:rRNA from 1 species
AUACGGAGGGUCCGAGCGUUAUCCGGAUUUAUUGGGUUUAAAGGGUGCGUAGGCGGAAUAAUAAGUCAGUUGUGAAAGUUUGCGGCUCAACCGUAAAAUUGCAGUUGAUACUGUUAUUCCUGAGUGUACAUAAGGUAGGCGGAAUUCGUGGUGUAGCGGUGAAAUGCUUAGAGAUCACACAGAAUAUCGAUUGCGAAGGCAGCUUACUAAGCUACAACUGACACUGAAGCACGAAAGCGUGGGGAUC